AUACUUACCUGGACGGGGUCUAUGGCCGAUCAAGAAGGGUCAUGGCCUAGGCUAGUGGCCAACAUUGCACUUGGUUGGUGUGCUGGCCUAUCAUCUUCCCAAGUGGGAUAAUUUGUGAUAGAGGGGGUACGCGAUCGCGCGGCCCUUG
rnacentral:snRNA from 1 species